rnacentral:rRNA from 1 species
GAUGAACGCUGGCGGCGUGCUUAACACAUGCAAGUCGAACGAAGCACCUUGAUUCGAUUCUUCGGAUGAAGAUCUUGGUGACUGAGUGGCGGACGGGUGAGUAACGCGUGGGUAACCUGCCUCAUACAGGGGGAUAACAGUUAGAAAUGACUGCUAAUACCGCAUAAGACCACAGCACCGCAUGGUGCAGGGGUAAAAACUCCGGUGGUAUGAGAUGGACCCGCGUCUGAUUAGGUAGUUGGUGGGGUAACGGCCUACCAAGCCGUCGAUCAGUAGCCGACCUGAGAGGGUGACCGGCCACAUUGGGACUGAGACACGGCCCAAACUCCUACGGGAGGCAGCAGUGGGGAAUAUUGCACAAUGGGGGAAACCCUGAUGCAGCGACGCCGCGUGAGCGAUGAAGUAUUUCGGUAUGUAAAGCUCUAUCAGCAGGGAAGAAAAUGACGGUACCUGACUAAGAAGCACCGGCUAAAUACGUG